CUGCAAGUCGAACGGCAGCACGGGGCAACUCUGGUGGCGAGUGGCGAACGGGUGAGUAAUGCAUCGGAACGUGCCCAGUAGUGGGGGAUAACUAGUCGAAAGAUUAGCUAAUACCGCAUACGACCUACGGGUGAAAGCGGGGGACCUUUACCGGCCUCGCGCUAUCGGAGCGGCCGAUGUCUGAUUAGCUAGUUGGCGGGGUAAAAGCCCACCAAGGCGACGAUCAGUAGCUGGUCUGAGAGGACGACCAGCCACACUGGGACUGAGACACGGCCCAGACUCCUACGGGAGGCAGCAGUGGGGAAUUUUGGACAAUGGGCGCAAGCCUGAUCCAGCCAUGCCGCGUGCGGGAAGAAGGCCUUCGGGUUGUAAACCGCUUUUGGCAGGAACGAAACGGCGCGAGCGAAUAUCUCGCGCUAAUGACGGUACCUGCAGAAUAAGCACCGGCUAACUACGUGCCAGCAGCCGCGGUAAUACGUAGGGUGCAAGCGUUAAUCGGAAUUACUGGGCGUAAAGCGUACGCAGGCGGCUUUGCAAGACAGGUGUGAAAUCCCCGGGCCUAACCUGGGAACUGCAUUUGUGACUGCAUGGCUAGAGUUUGUCAGAGGGGGGUGGAAUUCCACGUGUAGCAGUGAAAUGCGUAGAUAUGUGGAGGAACACCGAUGGCGAAGG
rnacentral:rRNA from 1 species